rnacentral:rRNA from 1 species
AACGCUAGCUACAGGCUUAACACAUGCAAGUCGAGGGGAAACGAUAUUGGAAGCUUGCUUCCGAUAGGCGUCGACCGGCGCACGGGUGAGUAACGCGUAUCCAACCUGCCCACCACUUGGGGAUAACCUUGCGAAAGUAAGACUAAUACCCAAUGAUAUCUCUAGAAGACAUCUGAAAGAGAUUAAAGAUUUAUCGGUGAUGGAUGGGGAUGCGUCUGAUUAGCUUGUUGGCGGGGUAACGGCCCACCAAGGCAACGAUCAGUAGGGGUUCUGAGAGGAAGGUCCCCCACAUUGGAACUGAGACACGGUCCAAACUCCUACGGGAGGCAGCAGUGAGGAAUAUUGGUCAAUGGACGAGAGUCUGAACCAGCCAAGUAGCGUGCAGGAAGACGGCCCUAUGGGUUGUAAACUGCUUUUAUAAGGGAAUAAAGUGAGAGUCGUGACUCUUUUUGCAUGUACCUUAUGAAUAAGGACCGGCUAAUUCCGUGCCAGCAGCCGCGGUAAUACGGAAGGUCCGGGCGUUAUCCGGAUUUAUUGGGUUUAAAGGGAGCGUAGGCCGGAGAUUAAGCGUGUUGUGAAAUGUAGAUGCUCAACAUCUGAACUGCAGCGCGAACUGGUUUCCUUGAGUACGCACAAAGUGGGCGGAAUUCGUGGUGUAGCGGUGAAAUGCUUAGAUAUCACGAAGAACUCCGAUUG